GGCUCGGCACUGUCAGUCGCUUUGUUUGCUUUUUCAUCCACUCGUUUGUUCAACAAGCACUGGCUGCCCACCUGCCCCGGUCCUGGGGCAAUGCUGGAGGUGCCCCAAGAUCAGGGAAGGGAGCCCCUUUUCUUCAGCUGGCAGGUGCUCAGCCAGUGCUUAAAUAAAAGAGCAAAUCGGUGGACCGGCAGUAACACACUCAGGAGUCUAGAUUUCCCCGGUCACGAAAGGAUGACACACUCCCAAGUACAAGGUGACAUCAGGAACUGUACACGAGAGGGCGGUGUCACAGGAGGUGGGAAUUCAGACUCCACUAUUCUCAAUUCCAGGCUAAGCGAGUCUCAUGAAAGGUGUCUCUGCAGUACCCUAAACUCAGGACUUCACGGGCUGUAAGCUCUUCAGAGAUGAAAACCACGGUCAGGAGCCACAUGGCUCCUCUCUAUGGCAGUGAGUCCGUGGGAUUUCCCGGUGGUGACAUCGCAGCUACCUCAGUUUUGUCAGUGUGCUUCUGCGGUACCCAUGAUGCAGCACCCCCGAAUCCCUCACGACACAAACAUCACAGAGCGGACUUACACUAAGAAUGGCUUCCCCAUCAGUAGGCGAUACAUUCUCAUGGAACCACCAUCAAAAGUGAGGCAGUGUCGCUGACUGAAAUGUCAUUGUUUGGGGCAGGACUGCAUUUAUUAGGAUGCUCUCCAGUACCUGAUAAUACAGCUCUGCUGAAUGGGAACAAUGAAGUUUUUGUUUAUUAAUGACCUCCCAGUAGGAGAUGAGGAUUUUAAAAAUAUACGUGUAAAUCAAGUAUAGUCUUCAAAAGAAAAUAAUCUCUACAUGGAUGGC
rnacentral:lncRNA from 1 species